rnacentral:lncRNA from 1 species
CAGCUCAGGGGACAGUCCCUUCCCUAACCCUGCUGGCUACUUUAUUCCUGCUAAAAUCCAGGUGCCAGUGGCCUCCUGCCCACCUGGGCACACCUGGGGAUGUCCAGCUGCUGUCACCAGCACCCCCAGGGACAUUUCCAGCCUCUCUGGCCCAGCCUGGAGCAUUCCAUGAGGUGAACCUGGCCCUUGGUCUUGUUGGAGCUCCAACCCAUCCACUCCCACCUCCAUCCCUGAUCCCUGGCAGGGAACAGCUGGAGCUGUGUCAGUGCAGCUUUAAGAUGACCAAACUGAGGUUUCCCUUUGGGUUCAAACCCAAACACUUCAGCAGAGCUGUGCUGCCUCACUCCACAUUUCAUUUUUGUUGCCUGGGACCUGCUCAGGGCUGAACAUCCACGGAUCCAUUUGAUCUCCAGCAGCCAAAUUCCUUCCCUGCCCUUCCCCACAGCUGAGACCUGCCCCCUGAUCUCAGCCAUUCCCAGAUUGCUGUGUCCUGCUGGGAACUGGGACAAACUUCCCAGCCUUUCCAAACCUGUCCUUUGCAUUCAGCUGCCCCCCCCAGCUCUGAUCCCCCCCCGGAGCUGUGGGAUUUGGCAAUGUGGGAUUUGGGAAUGCCUUUCUGUCCCAGAUUGCAGGGCAGGAUGAGUUCUGUCACCAUCUGCAGCUGUCUGGUGCCAAGUGGGCAAUUUCUCUUUAUCUCCCUCUCUGAGUGAUCACAGUCACUCCUUCUCAUCAGGGGACAUCUGAUAAGAGGCCACUGGUUGUCCCUGCAGGGCUGAUAAGAACUGCAGCAUCCCACUGGGAGAUGUGAGCCCAGGGGGAGGAGCCAACAUUCCUACCUGGAUAGAAUCUGGGGAUUCUGGAACACCAGCCCAGCUUCCAGCUGGAUUCCCCAGAGGAACAGCAGCUGCCUCCACUUCCAGGGAUCUGGGCAGGAGGAACACCUGGGAAAAACACCAGUCACUUGGUUUGUAAAAUUUUAAAGGUUUAAUAGUAAUAAAAUAGUUACAAAAAUGGUAAUACA